GACGAACGCUGGCGGCGUGCUUAACACAUGCAAGUCGAACGGAAAGGCCCUGCUUUUGUGGGGUGCUCGAGUGGCGAACGGGUGAGUAACACGUGAGUAACCUGCCCUUGACUUUGGGAUAACUUCAGGAAACUGCGGCUAAUACCGGAUAGGAGCUCCUGCUGCAUGGUGGGGGUUGGAAAGUUUCGGCGGUUGGGGAUGGACUCGCGGCUUAUCAGCUUGUUGGUGGGGUAGUGGCUUACCAAGGCUUUGACGGGUAGCCGGCCUGAGAGGGUGACCGGCCACAUUGGGACUGAGGUACGGCCCAGACUCCUACGGGGGGCAGCAGUGGGGAAUAUUGCACAAUGGGCGGAAGCCGGAUGCAGCAACGCCGCGUGCGGGAUGACGGCCUUCGGGUUGUAAACCGCUUUCUCCUGUGACGAAGCGUGAGUGACGGUAAUGGGUAAAGAAGCACCGGCUAACUACGU
rnacentral:rRNA from 1 species